UACAGAGGUCCCCAAGCGUUUGUUCGGAUUCAUUGGGCGUAAAGGGUGCGUAGGUGGCGCGCUAAGUCGGGUGUGAAAAUUUUCGAGGCUUAACCUCGAAAACUGCAUUCGAUACUGGCGUGCUUGAGGACUGGAGAGGAGACUGGAAUUCAUGGUGUAGCAGUGAAAAUGCGUAGAGAUCAUGAGGAAGACCAGUGGCGAAGGCGGGUCUCUGGACAGU
rnacentral:rRNA from 1 species